UGAAGCGAACAUGCUCACGAGCAGCCACCCGGCAAACCCCCUUUCCAGCCAGGCACAGCGCCACUCACUGACCUAGGAGUAUCGCCAAGCUGCAUGAGCCUGCCUGUUCGCCGCCUGGCUCCUGCAGCUUGAUGCCUUUGGAAUGCCAGUGAAUGGUGCUCUGCAUGGCUGGAGAGGGGGGUUGCACACUCGCUCACGUGCCUCCCAGCCUCACAAUAGCCUGGCCCAGGUCUCCCUGCAGAGCUAGGGCACCUCCGCCGCUGCCGCCAUCCCAGCAUGGCUUUUUUGGCGGCUUCCAAACCGAGUCUUCCAGCAGAAGCCGCCGAAAAAGUGAGUGUGUAACCCCGCUCUCAAGCCAUGCAGAGCACCAUUCACUGAAUGGCGCUGUGGCCGGCUGGAAAGUGACUGCUUGUGAGCGUGGUUGCUUCAUGGCUGCUAUGCUGCACUGCUGCGACACUGCAACACAGCCGUUUGCCCCUGAGGCUGUGCCCAGCUCUUUGGAGCUCGCUCGGAAGAGAGCAGCCGCCCGGCAAUCCCAAAACAAUAAACCCUCUCCUUAGAAUAAGGCCCAACCCAUAUUUUGUAGGUAAAAAAAUAAGAUCCUGUCUUAUUUUCAGGGAAACAUGGUAUUAUUAUUAUUAUUAUUAUUAUUAUUAUUAUUAUUAUUCCUCCAUCCUAUGCAUUCUCAAGGCUGUUGAGAGCAAAACAAAAAAAGAGUAGCAAAUAAUUUCCUGAGAAUCUCCUUUAAUGUAAGCUCCUCAGGCUACAAUCUAUAUCACUGUUUUCGGAGGACAGCAUAGCAAAAUUAACUAGCAUUCAACCAAUGAAGCUGAUAGUGCAGAAUAGAUGUUUGCUCAUACAAAUAAUAUAGUUGUUUGUGAGCCAUAUUUGAGUUUGGAUUCCACCCAUUUAAAAUAAUUGUUUAAGCAGACCAUGGAUAGUGAAUUUGCAGAUCCAACCCAAUCACUACUUAUAAUCCCUGCUGUUUUCUCAUAGUUAGUGUGUUUAUAUAGCCUAGGCUCAUAGGUAAGCAUGCUAACAAAUACAAUUAUGAGCACAUAAUGUGCUCUGCGGCCAAAAUAAACCAUUCUAUUACUUAACAGGAUGGAUGGUUCUUCUAAUAUGCUAAAUUGUGGCUAUAUAUCCCAUAGUAUGAUAAGCCACAAUUGCAAAUCUAGAGCAGAUGUGCAAAUCUUAUUUGUAUAUAAGCUAUAUAUUUCUCCUCCUGAGAAACUCCCCAAAGACAUAAAAUGAUGAGUAGCAAUGGCAAAAAUACAACUAUUACUCCUAAUAAAUAAAAUUCUUUAAAAUGCAAAAAUCACAUUUUUUAUUUUAGUCUUUAAGAUCUACAACAGAAAAUAUAUUAAAGCUGAAAGAUACUGAACAGUAGGGAAAUAAAUGCCUUCCAUAGAGAUGAUAUGGUAUAUACACCAGGGUUUAGUAUUCAACAUAUUAAAGAUAUUUACUGCUAGCUACCUGUUUCAGGUUACCAAGGAUAGGAACAAAAGCAGCAAACAUAAAUAUAUAUGUACAUAUAAUGGUAGAAACAGCUAUGGCUUCUAUUAAAAUCUUUUAAUAGCAUUUGUGUAUGUCUACAAAAACAAGCUCACUUAAGGCCAUUCAAAUCAGGCUUAACCUUGCUUAAUAUACUGAGCUGGGUUGCAUAUUAUUCUUCCUGAAUUAGGUUGCUAUAAUCACCUGAAAGCACCUGAAUGGAUAAGCACCUAAAAUAGUACUAUUUCAAAAAUGCUGUCAGCAGCUCUUCACUAGUACCACUGAUUAUUAAAAAAAAACAUACCUAACAAAAUAUAUUCAACCGAAACUGCAGUUAUAUGGCUACCUGCCAAGUGGACACAUUUGUUUAAAGAAUAAUCUCUAAAAAGAGGUAGAAACUACUAAAAAGAUGAACUGCAUCAAAAUAAAAAUUUUAAAUGUGCCAAAUUCCUUUUUUAAAAUCUUCGCAUAUAUAUCACAAUCUUUCUACAUUGUUACCCAUCUAAAUCCACUGUUUAAUAUUUUCAAAUCCCAUUUCAAGUGGAUUUAAGAUCUGCCUUUGGUUUUAAAUCUAAAUGUUUUAGUAUAGUCCAGACUAAAAUAUUAACCAUUAUAUUUUAUAUUUCAAUUUCUUGUACUAAGUUGCUCAUUAAACUGUCUUAUCCUUCUAUUGUAUUUCAGCUAUUAGUCAUUUUCAAAAUUUUCCCAUUAGGGUUAGGGUUAGAAAUCAGGCCUUCACAAGCUGUAAUCUUUUGGCUGAGGCAUCAACUAGGUUUUCUUUUGUAGGAUAACUAAGGAUAAGAUGUAUGUAUGUAUGUAUGUAUGUAUGUAUACAUACAUACAUACAUACAUACAUACAUACAUACAUACACAUACAUAUAUGCUUCUUAAAAUUAUUUUUUCUCAUGGUUAAUCAUUGUCCAAAGGAUAAUGUUUAAAUCCUUUCCUUCAGGCAGAGUAUUUGUUUUUUUAGAGUACUAAUUGGCAAGAUGGUACAAACCUGCAGAGUUAAUAAAGUUUAUCAUUAAUAUAUUAUUAUUUAUUAUAGUUAUCGGAAACAACUGAAUAGCCACAGAUUGUUUAUCCCAUCCCAGAGAUUUCCUUCAUAGGGGCUAUUUCUGAACAUAACAACUUUAUGUGCUCAAGAAAAAGAAUAGAAAGUGGAUUUUUCAUUGUCCUCUCCCAUUUUCUGCACACGGGAAUAUUUUUUGCAGGAAGACUUGAAACAACCAGGAGGCCAUGUUAUUGGCCAUGAGAAACUGCAAGGAACUGAGCCUUGUAUGUUCUUC